CUGGGGCUCUUUCUGGCAUAUCAUAGACAG
rnacentral:piRNA from 1 species